rnacentral:rRNA from 1 species
GGCAUCCUUGUGGUGUCAGCGGCAGACGGGUGAGUAACGCGUGGGAACGUGCCCUUCGGUUCGGAAUAACUCAGGGAAACUUGAGCUAAUACCGGAUACGUGCGAGAGCAGAAAGGUUUAUCUGCCGAAGGAUCGGCCCCGCGUCUGAUUAGCUAGUUGGUGAGGUUACGGCUCACCAAGGCGACGAUCAGUAGCUGGUCUGAGAGGAUGAUCAGCCACACUGGGACUGAGACACGGCCCAG